rnacentral:lncRNA from 1 species
CAUAGAUAUCUUGUCUUGGUUUGGUUUUCUCUCAAAAGCAGAACCUGAGACAAGCAUUUCAUUUCAGGUGACUCAUAGGUCAAAUGGAUUUCUUAGCUUAAACUCUGUUCAUGGUGAGGGGCCCAUUCUGCCUCGCUGUGUGCUUAUGUGGCGUUUCCUCUGUGAAUGAGUAUGGAGAAAGCUAUUUCUUUCCCUUCCUCUUAUCAGGGCACCACUAAUCUCUUUAUGAGAGGAUAUAACCUAAUCUAAACCUAUUUACCUCCCAAAGUCCUCAACUCCAAUACCAUCACACUGCUAGGUAUCAUUCGAGGUGCUAGACAUUACAGGUGCCUCAGUCAUUGCCUAUAAAGAGAAGAAAAACAUGCAAACAUAUUAUUAAGUUGA